CAGCUGGACACCCCCCCCCCCCCCCCCCCGCCUUCCCUGUCCUGAGUCUUCUGAUCUUGCAUCAUAAAGGCCCCAGAGGCACCAUCUGGGUGGGAAGGCUGCUUGAGAAGCCACCAAAGAGCACUGAGUGUCCUGGAGGCUCCCUGGAGGAAUCAGUAGUCCCCAGCUCAGCGAAAAAGAAAUUUGAAAAGUGCUGGAUCCGAUGCCCUUUUAAGUGCCCUUCAGUUUUCCGCGGCAUGUUAACAUCCAAUCUAACAUCCCCACCACACCUCAUUUUAUUGAUGAGAAAACUGAGGCUCCCAGAGCAGAGUGACUGGCAGUGAUCGCAGAGCUGGCCCAUAGGGAAGCUGGUAUAUGGACGCAAGACCCACUCUGGAUGGAGCUCUCUCCAUUACAUCAGGCUUUGGGUUUCAACUGGUUCGCCGGGUGUUUAAAAGAAAAUCUUGUUGACUUUGUAGUUU
rnacentral:lncRNA from 9 species